UUGUCCUGUGACUGCGUACCUUUUGUAUAAUGGGUCAGCGACUUAUAUUCAGUGGCAAGGUUAACCAUCUAGGGGAGCCGUAGGGAAACCGAGUCUUAACUGGGCGUUCAGUCUCUGGAUAUAGACCCGAAACCAGGUGAUCUAGCCAUGGGCAGGUUGAAGGUUGAGUAACAUCAACUGGAGGACCGAACCGACUAAUGUUGAAAAAUUAGCGGAUGACUUGUGGCUAGGGGUGAAAGGCCAAUCAAACCUGGAGAUAGCUGGUUCUCCCCGAAAGCUAUUUAGGUAGCGCCUCGGACGAAUACUACUGGGGGUAGAGCACUGUUAAGGCUAGGGGGUCAUCCCGACUUACCAACCCUUUGCAAACUCCGAAUACCAGUAAGUACUAUCCGGGAGACACACGGCGGGUGCUAACGUCCGUCGUGGAGAGGGAAACAACCCAGACCGCCAGCUAAGGUCCCAAAUUACUACUAAGUGGGAAACGAUGUGGGAAGGCUCAGACAGCCAGGAUGUUGGCUUAGAAGCAGCCAUCAUUUAAAGAAAGCGUAAUAGCUCACUGGUCGAGUCGGCCUGCGCGGAAGAUGUAACGGGGCUAAGUAGUAAACCGAAGCUGCGGCAAUAUACUUUUGUAUAUUGGGUAGGGGAGCGUUCUGUAAGCGGUUGAAGGUGUGUGGUAACGCAUGCUGGACGUAUCAGAAGUGCGAAUGCUGACAUGAGUAACGAUAAAGGGGGUGAAAAACCUCCUCGCCGGAAGACCAAGGGUUCCUGUCCAACGUUAAUCGGGGCAGGGUAAGUCGACCCCUAAGGCGAGGCCGAAAGGCGUAGUCGAUGGGAAACGGGUUAAUAUUCCCGUACUUCUUACAAUUGCGAUGGGGGGACGGAGAAGGCUAGGUGGGCCUGGCGACGGUUGUCCAGGUUCAAGUGCGUAGGCUUAAGAGUUAGGUAAAUCCGGCUCUUUUUAAGGCUGAGACACGACGUCGAGCACCUACGGGUGUGAAGUCAUUGAUGCCAUGCUUCCAGGAAAAGCCUCUAAGCUUCAGAUUGUAAGGAAUCGUACCCCAAACCGACACAGGUGGUCGGGUAGAGAAUACCAAGGCGCUUGAGAGAACUCGGGUGAAGGAACUAGGCAAAAUGGUACCGUAACUUCGGGAGAAGGUACGCUCUCGACGGUGAAGUCCCUUGCGGAUGGAGCUAUU
rnacentral:rRNA from 1 species